UAAUUUUUAGGGGAAGGUAAUUUCACACUUGACAUCAUUCACCACGGAAUUGUUCAGUUAGCUAGUUGGCCAUUUCUUCAUGCUCUGCGACACCGCAAUCAAAAAUUGUUUGUGAGAGGUAAAGAGAGAGGUGUCAGCUUUUGAUCAUCGCCGAAGCUAUAAAAGGAAAACAGUCCACGUUAUAUUCCAGAUCGAGAACAGAGAAGUCUAGAGCAGUUCUCGAGUCCUGUUCCAAAAAGAGGCCGAAAUGAGAGGCCUCAAGGUGGUGUUCUUGUGUGUCCUGCUGGUGACAGCAGUUUCCUGCCAGGGUGGAGGCGGUGGCGGAGGAGGUAGUGGAGG